CAUAGAAUUCUUGUAAUUCAAACAGGUAUCUCAUCUUUAAAUUAAUUCAGGGGACAUUUGCGUUUUUGGUAGCUUUUUAUCUCAAACAGUUUGAGUGUGUUUAUUUAGGGAGAGGGGAUAGUGGAAAGAGGAUAAACAGAGGCUUGAGAGUAUUGUGACAUCAGAUCCAAACAGACCAGACACUCAACUUGCCAAGUAACAAAUAGUAAGCACGACGCAGUCUCUCGACGUAUGAAGAUGAGCAAGCCGAGAAGUAGAGUAAGACGCAUAAAACUGAUAUCGUGAAUGAUUCAUUCGGUUCUAUAUAGUAGGAAGCCCCCAAAAAAAAAAGGAA